rnacentral:rRNA from 1 species
CCUACGGGAGGCAGCAGUGAGGAAUAUUGGUCAAUGGACGAGAGUCUGAACCAGCCAAGUAGCGUGAAGGAUGACUGCCCUAUGGGUUGUAAACUUCUUUUAUAUGGGAAUAAAAUGUUCCACGUGUGGGAUUUUGUAUGUACCAUAUGAAUAAGGAUCGGCUAACUCCGUGCCAGCAGCCGCGGUAAUACGGAGGAUCCGAGCGUUAUCCGGAUUUAUUGGGUUUAAAGGGAGCGUAGGUGGAUUGUUAAGUCAGUUGUGAAAGUUUGCAGCUCAACCGUAAAAUUGCAGUUGAAACUGGCAGUCUUGAGUACAGUAGAGGUGGGCAGAAUUCGUGGUGUAGCGGUGAAAUGCUUAGAUAUCACGAAGAACUCCGAUUGCGAAGGCAGUUCACUGGACUGCAACUGACACUGAGGCUCGAAAGUGUGGGUAUCAAACAGGAUUAGAUACCCUUGUAGUC